rnacentral:rRNA from 1 species
CCAAUAGCGUAUAUUAAAGUUGUUGCAGUUAAAAAGCUCGUAGUUGAAUUUCGGGGUUAGUAGGUUGGUCAUGCCUCUGGUAUGUACUGGUCUCACUGAUUCCUCCUUCCUGAUGAUCCGUAAUGCCAUUUAUUUGGUGUUGCGGGGAAUUUGGACUGUUACUUUGAAAAAAUUAGAGUGUUUAAAGCAAGCUAACGCUUGAAUACAUUAGCAUGGAAUAAUGAAAUAGGACGUUCGAUCCUAUUUUGUUGGUCUCUAGGAUUGACGUAAUGAUUAAUAGGGAUAGUUGGGGGCAUUAGUAUUCAAUUGUCAGAGGUGAAAUUCUUGGAUUUAUUGAAGACUAACUACUGCGAAAGCAUUUGCCAAGGAUGUUUUCAUUAAUCAAGAACGAAAGUUAGGGGAUCGAAGACGAUCAGAUACCGUCGUAGUCUUAACCAUAAACUAUGCCGACUGGGGAUCGGAUGAUGUUAAUUUUUUAAUGACUCAUUCGGCGCCUUACG